rnacentral:lncRNA from 1 species
CUGCCCCUAAGCUGCUGUCACCUGCUCUUCAUGGAGCUCUUGGGCUUGAUGUCAUCAGAGCAGUCACCCCCUUGGGGGAAGAGUGUGCAUUCAGGGGCCCCUGCGACAGGACAGCAAACACGUUUGUUUGCAGGCCCGGGGAGCUUCCAGACAAAUGAUCUCUGACACUUUGUGCCAAAGCGAUUGAGCAAGAGGCAGGAGCCAUGUCCAAGACAGAAUCCUGCCAAAAUGCAUAAUCGAUAUAGUUGAGGUCAGAAGUCUUUCAAGGCUGGGGUUCUCGACGCAACAGCUGGAUUUGUUCAGGAUAAUCCACUUGGAAACACCAUUUUGGAUUCACGUGAGGAAGCAAUGAGCUUUCAGUGUGUAAAGGCCACAGGGCUGGCGUUACCCGGCUGAUACACUCUGCUGCUUCACAGGCUCUAGGACCUUGUGAGGGCACCAUCGUCCGUCCGGGUUUCAUACGGGAAAUCUAUUUGUCGGGUUAAUUGAGUUGAUGAAUUUAAGCAGAUGGUACUGACCUCCUCGUCUCUAAUACAUACUCCUCCUCUCACAUAUGGUGAUUCAAAGUUGACAUGAACAUGGGACAUCCAGCACAGACCAGUUACGGACCGCCUGUGGGACAGAUUUAGGACCAGCCUGGGAAGUGCAUGUAUUAUGACUGGGGUCUAACUGCUUUGAAUAAAAUGGCUAAGAAAAACGUGAGAAUGAAAAAUCCUUGCUGUGCAUCCACUUGCAAAUAUAUCCAGGUCUGUGAGCCCUUGAAAGACUGAAGUUUGUAAUCAGCACAGAGGAACCCUUGGAAGGACUUCUUUCUGCCUGUAGAGCUCGAGUCGGAUGCCGUCUGGGACGCAGCUGAAAGCGGCUGGAGAACCGGUGCACCUGAGAGAACUGAGUUCUGGGACUUUACGGAAGUCACUUUGGUCAGUUUGCUCAUUGUUAAUUCAGUUUAAAAUAAUGGGCACUCCUGAUACUAUUGAUACUAUUGUGAUAAAGAUCUCUUGUAAAUAGAGGCACUCCUGAUACUAUUGUGAUAAAGAUCUCUUGUAAAUAGAGGCACAACUCAUGCUCAAAUGUAGAUAGCCCUGCGGUUAAUCAAAUGCAAACACAUGAUGAAAUUUCCAUCGGCGUGGUGGCACAUUCUGACAGCAGCCUAGGGUGAAUGAACAGAAUUUUUUUUAGAGUCUCCAUGACCUGUUUUGGAGCCCUGGCAUCACCAGUCACUAACUGUCUGUGGUCUUUCAUUUCCUCCUCGCUGCAUGUGG